rnacentral:tRNA from 1 species
GCCUGACUGGCUCAGUUGGUAGAGCAUGCGACUCUUAAUCUCAGGGUCAUGAGUUCAAGCUCCAUGUUGGGCC